CUCUUUCUUCUCUUUAAAGAACCGGUUCCUCCCCCUCUCUUUCUCAAAUAAAUCACAUGCUAAUUUUUGUUACUUGUUACCAUAGUUAGAUAAGAAUUAGAAACCAAGAGAUCUAGUUAGAAACUAACUAAAAUUGGCACCACAUCCCUCACUCUUCUCUCUUGAAGAAACCGGAUCCUCUCCCUCUCUCUCAAUUAGAUCACAUGGUAAAUAUGAUGAUUAGGUGGUGAUUAUGACAAAGUUAAGGAAGCUACUAGGAAGCUACAUAUUUACACAUGUAAUUAACAUUCUUCUCUCAUAACUGUAGAUUCCUCUCCCAUUUCCCAUUAAUCAUCAAAAUUUCAUAUAGUUAGAAGUAAGAAAGAAAGAUUUACAAAGAGCAUGAAAUCAAUUGCUUAACUCUCUCUUUUCCAACUGGGUUUCCUUCCCCUUCCUUCAUCAAAUUUUAUUUCUUUCCACUAAACCAAGUUAAGGAAGAGAGAAAAACCAAAUAGAAAGGAAGAGAGCUAGAGGAGGCCGAGAGUGAGAGAGAUCAAGAACCAUCAAACCAAGCUUGUUUUCUACCAUUUUCUUCAUCAAGUUUCAAGAGCAACACCUCCACUUCUCAAUAUUUCAAGAACCAACCUCAUCCUCUUCAUCUUCUUCAUUUACCUCUUGAAAUCAUCAACAGGAGCUUUAAGCAGAACCUCCAAGCUAGCCAAAAAUCAAGCUCAAUAGAGUGAGAAAUCACUCCCUUUCCUUUCUAGUUGGUUCGCCCAUGAGGCCUAUUUUUCUAUUAAUUAAUGUGGUGUUGUUAUUUAAGUGAUUUCUUAUGCUAAAGAGGAUUAAGAAGUAAAUUAAAGAAGUAAGGGUUAGGUGUAGUUAGAAAUCUCUUGGUUGUGUUUAUAUGUU